GAUGAACGCUGGCGGCGUGCCUAAUACAUGCAAGUCGAGCGAACAGACGAGGAGCUUGCUCCUCUGACGUUAGCGGCGGACGGGUGAGUAACACGUGGAUAACCUACCUAUAAGACUGGGAUAACUUCGGGAAACCGGAGCUAAUACCGGAUAAUAUAUUGAACCGCAUGGUUCAAUAGUGAAAGACGGUUUUGCUGUCACUUAUAGAUGGAUCCGCGCCGCAUUAGCUAGUUGGUAAGGUAACGGCUUACCAAGGCAACGAUGCGUAGCCGACCUGAGAGGGGGAUCGGCCACACUGGAACUGAGACACGGUCCAGACUCCGACGGGAGGCAGCAGUAGGGAAUCUGCCGCAAUGGGCGAAAGCCUGACGGAGCAACGCCGCGUGAGUGAUGAAGGUCUGCGGAUCGUAAAACUCUGUUAUUAGGGAAGAACAAAUGUGUAAGUAACUAUGCACGUCUGGACGGUACCUAAGCAGAAAGCCACGGCUAACUACGU
rnacentral:rRNA from 1 species